rnacentral:lncRNA from 1 species
CGGAGAUGGUGGAGGCGGAGUGCGUGGAGGUUGUAGGGAAACGAGCGGUGGCGGUGGAGGUGGAGGUGGAGGGUGGAAAACGUGUGGCGGAGGAGGCUUCACAUUUUGUUGAGACUCCACAAUGAGUGGAAAGAAACCAACGAAAAACCCAGAACUAGCAAUCAGCAAAGUGAACAAUGGCAAAUCCAUAUAUUCAUACCAAUCGACAGGUCAUGCAAAAUCUGUUUCUUUAAAUCCUCCCCACGUCUGGGUUGUUUUCAAACCCUUAAAAGUCUUCUACUGUUCAAGAAUAUCAAAUCUUUAUCCAUGUGCAUUUUUUUCAAAUAAACUUGCUUGAAAUUUGAAAUUAUUCUCUGGAACUGGCGAUCACGGCUUCCUGGCGAAGAUCUUGGUUCCCCCAGAAUCGAACCCAAGGUUGAUUUUUUUUUUUGGAAAAGGAAGGGAUUUUACAAGAACUGUCCCAAGAUUAUCCUAGAAACUAGGAUUUAGUCAAUAACUGAUUCAGUAAUCUUGAUCAGUGAUAGAAAUACUGAAGUAAACUAAAUAUAAUGGAUACUGAAUGCGAUUUUUUCGCCAAAAUUCUCUUCUUCCAGAAUGUAAGGGAGAGAGAUGGCCGACAACGAUUGGUCUUCUGAGUACUUGGAUUUGUUUAAUGAGUUGUGCUGGGUGCACGGCAAUUACCCA